AUUGAACGCUGGCGGCAUGCUUUACACAUGCAAGUCGAACGGUAACAGGCCGCAAGGUGCUGACGAGUGGCGAACGGGUGAGUAAUGCAUCGGAACGUGCCCAGUCGUGGGGAUAACGCAGCGAAAGCUGCGCUAAUACCGCAUACGAUCUAUGGAUGAAAGCGGGGGACCGUAAGGCCUCGCGCGAUUGGAGCGGCCGAUGUCAGAUUUGGUAGUUGGUGGGGUAAAGGCUCACCAAGCCAACGAUCUGUAGCUGGUCUGAGAGGACGACCGGCCACACUGGGACUGAGACACGGCCCAGACUCCUACGGGAGGCAGCAGUGGGGAAUUUUGGACAAUGGGCGCAAGCCUGAUCCAGCAAUGCCGCGUGCAGGAAGAAGGCCUUCGGGUUGUAAACUGCUUUUGUACGGAACGAAACGGCUCUGGUUAAUACCUGGGGCUAAUGACGGUACCGUAAGAAUAAGCACCGGCUAACUACGUGCCAGCCGCCGCAGUAA
rnacentral:rRNA from 1 species